rnacentral:tRNA from 1 species
UGGGGAGUCGUCUAAUGGUAGGACAUAUCCCUUUGAAGGAUAGUAUUGGGGUUCGAAUCCCUGCUCCCCAGCUA